rnacentral:lncRNA from 1 species
UUUUUUUUUCUUUUUAGGGCUGCACCCACGGCAUACGGAGUUUCCCAGGCUAGGGGUCGAAUUGGAGCUGUAGCCGCUGACUUACACCACAGCCACAGCAACGCAAGACCCAAGCUGCAUCUGUGAUCUCUACCACAGCUCACGGCAAUGCCGGAUCCUUAACUCGCUGAGCAAGGCCAGGGAUCGAACCUGCAUCCUCAUGGAUGCUAGUCAGAUUCAUUUCCACUGACCCAUGACGGGAACACCCCAGACACAUUUUUUUGAAAUCAAUUUUAUGUCCAGACCAAAGAUGGGCAUUGAAGAGAGGGAGGGAUAAAAGCUAGUGACCCCAGAGCCUGAGUUUAUCCUAUAAUCCAUGGACACGGAUAUAAAAUGUAGGUGCAAUGUCAAUUUCAUGGUCUUAGCAACUCCAGUAGAGACUGGCCUCAUGGGAAAUGAGGUGGGUGUUCCAUCCCUGCUUCAAGGAAGCAUAUGGUUACCUGUUGCUUUGCUUUUUAUCCUGUGACCUACAGGGUCCUUUUCAGCUCUGCGUCCCUCUGCUUCUCUCUCCAGCUAAGCUCUGUUCCAUUUGCUCACCACCCAGCCAGCAAGCCCUCCCCGCACCCCACCACCAUGUUGCAGUCCCUCUCUCUGUGUCUCUUGGUUCAAAUUUUGAAGAGAGAAAUCUGAUUGAUGGAUAGACACCAAUGGGUCGGCUGACUUUGAAUCUGAUGCUUCCAUCUGUGGCCAGCGAGAGGAGGACUCUGCUUUCCCAACAUAGACGUCUGGACUCAGAAGAUCCUUGCGUCAGGCAUUUCCCGGGAAAAGGAACUAUUUUAUAGUAAAUGUCACCCUAGUGCAAAUUCUGUAGUUGCAAAAGUAGCAAAGGAGAAAGUCCAUGGUUUCCUGAUAAGCCUUUCCUGAGAAUAAACUUCAGGUAUGAUGAUGAGCUAAACAUUAAAUAAAUAGGAAUCAAAUACACUGGAAUGAAAGCAGUGAGGUUAAAAAAAGGGGGGAAGAAAAGAGGAUCGAAAUGAAAAGGAAAGAAAAGAAAAUGUAGAAAACAAGAGGGAAAGAACAGAGUUCACCAAAUGAAACGUUUCCUUGAGAAUGUGUGUGUGUGUCUGAGGCCAGUAGAUCAGUAGGGAAAGAAUGAAUCGGGGUUUUAGAGAAACAAAAAUGCAAAAAGGGGGGAAAGGGGUUAUGUGUUGGAUUAUAGCCAGUUUUCCAGCUCCAGACAUCUGGAGCCAAGACAGGGAAAGGUGAGGAGAUGUCCUUUGCAGCAGCUCUUGCCUCCAUGGGGGCUGGUUACUCGGGAUAUUUACAUUAAAUUAACGUGGCUGGCUGUGGCUGUGUCCAGCGCUUGGAUACGCGGUUAAAUAAUCAGUGUGGUUUGGCCGCUGGUUUCUUUACUGUGGUUGAAUAAUUGGUGUUGUCUCCGUUGCUAGCUACUUUAAAAAUGGAUAUGUGCACUUGUUUCUCUUUUUUUCUUUCUCUUGAGCAAUUUUGACAAGCCCUGGGCAGAAAAGUGGCUGACCUGCUUAUAAAGGGAUGCUUUUUCUCCUUGUCAUUUGUGCUUCCCCCAGAUAUUCUUCAAGGCUUUGAGAAUUGUAGACUUUUCCGCCUGGAAUCUAGAUGAAGCGCUCUACUUAGGAAGGAAUUCAGUCCACCCCUCUUAUUUGUAGCAGCAAAGAGAUAAGGCUGAGCCUAAGGGCAUCUGUAGUUCUCCAAAACUGGCCCCCAUUUCUUUUCUUUCCUUUUUUAUUUUUUUGCUUUUUAGGCUGCAUAUUCGUCAUAUGGAGCAGCCCUAGAAAAGGCAAAAAGACAAAAAAAUAAAAUAAAAUAAAAUAAAGUCACAUAGAGAGAGGGAGGAAACGAGUGUUUCAGAGGGAGAAGUGGGGAGGAAAGAGCAAAGUGUUUUCAAACAUGGGUCAUCAAUCAUAGGAUAAUUUCACUUCUACUGGAAGGCUAGAACAUACAUUUUAGGUCAAUCACUCAGUGCUUAUUCAGAUUAAAAAUAUAGGGACAUCUGCAGUUCCCACUGUGGCUCAGUGGUUAACGAACCUGACUAGCAACCUGGCCUCGCUCAGUGGGUUAAGGAUCCGACGUCACUGUGAACUGUGGUGUAGGUCGCAGACGUGGCUCAGAUCUGGCAUUACUGUGGCUGUGGCAUAGCCUGAUGGCUACAGCUCCAAUUUGACCCCUAGCUUGGGAACCUCCAUAUGCCGUGGGUGUGGCCCUAAAAAAACCCAAAAAAUAAAAACUAGGGACAUUUGUUCUGAUCAAUCUCAAGGCACAGGUUAAGGGGGGAGUUCCUAAGAUUUUAAUGGGAUUUGGAAGAGGAUUCUUUAGAAUUCAUUGAUCUUGCCACUUUAGGAAGAAGUCUUAUUUCCCUCUAUAAAAGGCAUUCUUUUCUUCUUUUGUUUCUUUUAAGGCUGCACCUGUAGCAUAUGGAAGUUCCCAGACUAGGGGUCGAAUUGGAGCUGCAGCUGCUUGCCUGCAUCACAGCCACCGCCAUGCAGGAUCUGAGCUGCAUCUGUGGCCUACACCAAAGCUUGAGGCAAUGCCAUGGAUAGAGGCCAGGGUUCAAACCUGCAUCCUCAUGGAUACUAGUCAGACUCUUAACCCGCUGAGCCUCAGUGGGAACUCAUAAAAUUCAUCUUUUAACACUUUUUUUGAGAAUUACCAACCAAGUGGAGGAAAAACAUUCCAGAAAGGCAAAACUCUAAGCCAUCAAUCCCACACUGUGCAGGGUGAUAUGGAACAAAGGUGGAGCGGUGGCCAAGGGGACAAGCUUAGCAGAUCACUUUUUGAGUGUUCUCACUUAUUAGUUGGAUAAUGUUGGAUCCCUAAACCUCCUUCAACUUAAAUGUCAUCAAUCUUUACCCUAUUAAUUUUCUGAAGACCUAACUCAUAACGUUUGUCUUACACAUAAUAAGAAAAAUUAAAAUGAAAGCUACAACGAAGCAUAAUUUUCAUCUAUCAGAUUGGCAGAGAUCCAAAAGUUUAAAAACAUGUUGUCUUGGCAAUGAUGCAAGCAGAGUUAUUUUACAGAAUAAUGCUGCGCAUGUGCAAGCUGGAAACCCAUCUGCAGGAUGACCUGGCAACUAAGACCCCUCAGUCUAUUAAACUCAGAAAUGUUGCCACCAGAGCCCUCAACCAAGCAAGAAGUCCUUCGUUAAGAAAAAUCUGGCUUCCAGCAGCAGUAGCUUCUAUGGACCAAUUCAAGACUAGCCAAUCAGCUUCCAAGUUUGAAAUUCCCCAAACCCUUUAAAUUUCUCCCUGCACCCUGGAUCAAGGAGACAGAAUGAGCCCUGCCUCCUGUCUCCUUGCCGGUCAAGUUCACAAUAAAGCUCCAAGCCGGUGCCAUGGUAUUGGCUUCUCUGCACAUGGAGCAGCAAGCCCUGCUCUGUAAUAAUAUCAUAAAUAAAUUGGGCAGGAGUUCCCUCUGUGGCACAAUGGGAUCUGUAGUGUCUCUGCAGUAUUCCCGGAACUCCCCACGUGAACUAUGUCUAUGCAGGGUAGGAAGAGUCACUUAGGAAGGACAGCCACCACCCUUGUCAAUUCCCCAGCCUCUUUUCCCUGCUUGCAGCCAUUUAAUUGCUCAAGGUGAGGGGCCAUUGGUCUCCAUAUUUUCUAGCUUGGAAAUGUUCUUAUCUCUAGACAAGCCACCAUAUCACCCAAAUUAAAUGAUACCUAUAAAGUAGAAGCCCCCAAUUUUUAUUAUUUGAUUCAACAGACAUAAAAUUAGCCUUCCAAAUUGUUGUACAGGUAUCCAAAUGCUUGCUCCCACAUGCUCGUGGGCCACUGAGGAAUGGUGCCUGGACCAGCACCUACCCAUGAAAUGCAGUUCGGUGGAUCCCUGAUGCAGUGGACACCAUUUCUUCUUCUUCUUCUUCUUUUUUUUUUUUUUUUUUUUUUUUUUUUUUGGCUUUGUAGGGCUGCACCUGCAGCACGUGGAAAUUCCUAGUCUAGGGGUUGAAUCGGAGCUAUAGCUGCCAGCCUACACCACAGCCACAGCAACGCCAGAGCCAAGCUGUGUCUGCAACCUACGCCACAGCUCAUGGCCAUGCCGGAUCCUUAACCCACUGAGUGAGGCCAGGGAUCAAACUUGUGUCCUCA